UAAGGAAUAUUGGACAAUGGCCGCAAGGCUGAUCCAGCCAUGCCGCGUGCAGGAAGAAGGACCUAUGGUUUGUAAACUGCUUUUGAACGGGAGAAAACCCCCUGACGUGUCAGGGGCUGAUAGUACCGUUAGAAUAAGCAUCGGCUAACUUCGUGCCAGCAGCCGCGGUAAGACGAAGGAUGCAAGCGUUAUCCGGAUUCAUUGGGUUUAAAGGGUGCGUAGGCGGAUAGGUAAGUCAGUGGUGAAAUCUCGCAGCUUAACUGCGAAACUGCCAUUGAUACUGCUUAUCUAGAGUACAGUUGCCGUUGGCGGAAUAUGACAUGUAGUGGUGAAAUACAUAGAUAUGUCAUAGAACACCGAUUGCGAAGGCAGCUAACGAAGCUGUAACUGACGCUGAGGCACGAAAGUGCGGGGAUCAAACAGG
rnacentral:rRNA from 1 species